GCCGGAGUGGCGGAAUAGGCAGACGCGCGCGACUCAAAAUCGCGUGGGCUUAGCUCAUGUGGGUUCGAUUCCCACCUCCGGCA
rnacentral:tRNA from 1 species